UACGAAGGGGGCUAGCGUUGCUCGGAAUGACUGGGCGUAAAGAGCUCGUAGGCGGUUCGUCGCGUCGGCUGUGAAAUCCCGAGGCUCAACCUCGGGUCUGCAGUCGAUACGGGCGGACUGGAGUUCGGCAGGGGAGACUGGAAUUCCUGGUGUAGCGGUGAAAUGCGCAGAUAUCAGGAGGAACACCGGUGGCGAAGGCGGGUCUCUGGGCCGAUACUGACGCUGAGGAGCGAAAGCGUGGGGAGCGAACAGG
rnacentral:rRNA from 1 species